AGAAACCUUGCAAUUGACAUUUCAAUAAUGGCUUCAAAUGCUCAAGAUGAGGAUGGAUUCUCUUGGUAAUAGUGAGUGCUCUUGAAGUUGCUCGCCUGGCUCUAAAACAAUAUGCCUUCCUAAAUUUUUUCCUUCUACUCCAAAUCAAUAUGCCGGUAUUGAAAUUGAUCCCAUGGGGACCUGACCAUUGACACCGAGAGAGAACUAAAUUGGUUGGUUCUCGAAAAAUAAUAUGUUAAAUAACUGCCCGAAGAACUAUUUUAGUUAGUUUUUCUAUGGUUAUUGUUAUUUUUUGGGUACGAUUAACUUAUCGAGCUUUCUUUUAUUCUUAGGUUUGGCACUAACUUUUUUGUGCAUGAUCGAUUUCCUACUACCACUCAAUCAUAUUCCACCAUAGCUUGCCCAAAUUGUCCAAACUUUAGCAAUUCGUUGAAUGUAUUUUUGAGGGGUGAAGUUGCGUGGUCUUUACCAACAAACCCAGUGAAUCUAGUAUCCAUUUGUAUUAUUUCAUUUUAGGUGAGAAGAUUAUAUCUAGAGCUGAGCAUAUAUAUAAUCAUCGUCUUCUUGCAGAGCAUGCGAAGACAGCUCGUAUGAACUUGAAGACUAUUGAGUCACUCAAUAGUCUUCAAGUCAAUACGAGUUGUCUUUGCACGCUCCGCAAGAAGUUGAGGAUUAUAUAGCUCCGAACAUUAUCUCCUCGCCUAAAAUGGAAUAAUACAAAUCAAAAAGUUUGCAACUAAAGAUGGUAUGAGAUUUAUUGGUUGUUGGUAAAGGGCAUGCGACUUGACCUCUGAAAAAUACAUCAAAUGAGUUGCUAAACUUUGGAUCAUCCGAGCAAGCCAUGGUGCAAUAUGAUCGACUGGCAAUAGGAAAUCGAUCAAGUACAAAAUAUCCAGUGCCAAACUUAAGUUAAUCAUACCCAAAAAAAUGGCAAUAACAAUAAAUAAAUAAAAAAACGAACAUAGUACUUCGGGUAGUUAUUUAACAUGUUAUCUUGGAGAACUAGUCAAUCGAAUUCUCUCUCGGCGCAGCGUCAGUGGUCAGGUCCUCAUAGGAUCAAUUUUAGUGUUGGCAUCUUGAUUUGGAGCAAAGGGAAAAAUUUAGGAAGACAUGUUGUUUCAGAACUAGGCAAGCAACUUCCAAAGCACUCAUCCAAAAAGCAAUAACUGAUAAUCCAUCAUCAUCUUGAGCAUUUGAAGCCCUUGUUGAAAUGUCAAUCACAAGAUUUUUCUUUUUAUAGCAUUGCAUUUUACAUUUUUGGAUUACAACAAAAAAAAAGGAAAAAAGAAAAUAGAUCCUAUCAUAACCUUCAAUGGCACAAUAGGAUACCAUAUAUUAUUGAGAUUUUCUCCCAUGUCUCUUUCAAAGAAUCAAAUAUUGACGAAUAAUUCGUCAACUAUAUCAAUUAUCUGCACAAACAAAAAUGAUUCACUAAACUAAGGCGAAGCACGAGAUUAAUGCAAAAAUGUCAAACCCAUCUCAGGAUAUUGUUUCAUUAUUUCCAUUUCAAAUGCUAAGUAUAGUAAACUCAGUCAAGUGUAAUGUAUUAAAAGGUUCAACCCUAAAAGCACUGUUGACCAAAAAGGCAUACUUAAAAUCAGUAUAGAUAGACAUGGACUUACGAAAUAGUGGAGAUUGAGCCAGGUAUGCCUCCAUCCUAUGAUAAUUCAGCUUAAAAGCAGUAGACCUUGAUUCGUUCCAACCAUAAAUUUCAGUGGAUGUAUUUCAAUAAAGCGACAACAAAAUUUCCCUAAACACCUGCACAAUGUGGAAUCAUAGUACUUAAGACAAACAUACAACAAACACGUGUUACUUGAUUAGUGAUCUUAUGCCUAGUAGUAUCACUUUUUGUAUCAGCUUUAUUUCUAAGAUAAAAAUAAAAAAUGAACAAAUCCAAAUAUUUUCUAUCAAUAUUCAUCAUCUAAAUGAUUAUUAACAAGAAUAAUCCUCCUGACAUAUCAACUAAUUUACUGUUGUUCACCUUGCUUCCGUGGACUAGUUGUUGAUCUAGGCAUAGGGGACGAGAAAUACGGGGAAGCUCACCUUACAAAUACUCCGAGUUGAAUGUCUUCUUGGGAUGGACACCAAGGACCUGCAAAUAUUGUAAGCAUGAAAUAUUAACAGGAUACCCUAACCCUAGAUGAAAUCACUAUCAAGAGAGGGAGAGACCGAGUCAAUCUGAUGGUCGCUCUGAGUGGCAUCCUUGAGAAUGUAGGGGAUGGGCGAGAACCUGUUGAUGCAAAAUACCUUUCGAACCUGAAUCUCCAGAUUCAACUGGGAAGUGUCCUUAAGGAGGCCAUUUACGACAACCAGUGAUUCGAGAGACAAUGAGGCGACAAAUUGCAUUAUCUCUUUGCUGAGAGUGCCCCAUUCAGAUGCACUAGAUCGAGAAGGCGGUAUCCCUCAACAUGAGGAACACCAAUUUCUUUCCCAUUGACCUAGUCAGUUGUGCCCUCCUGCGCAUAGGUACUAUCUGCCGCUCCGUCUCUAGGGAAAGAGCACCCACCUCCGAGUAAUCUAAAUUGAGCUCUCCCAUUGCUAGUAACUUCUCUAAUCCUUCCCAUCCUCCUCCUAAGCUUCCAUGGUUGCUUGAAGGAGGAACCGACAGAUUGGGCGAAAUCAAUUGUGAGAGAAUGUUUUGGAAGAGGGAACUGAUCAAGGUAAGGGGAAGCAUCUAGGAUUUUUGUGAGAGAAAUCAAUUGCGCUCGCGCAAGAAUGUCUUCUGAUCGUCGGAACAGGAGACGUCUAGGGAUUGUGGGAGAGAUGGUUGAAAGGGGCAUCAUGGGUUAGCUAGUAGCAAUGCACAUUUUCAAAGAAGAUAUAGGGCGGCGCUAAAUGACAAAUAUACCAAUUUGCUUUUAUUAAAAAAUUCUUUAAUAUUUUCGUUGCAUGAACUAAAAUUACUCUUCAUGCGAAAUACAAAUGGAUAAGCUCCAUUGGGUUUGACCCUGAUACUACGCAUGUGCGGGUUUUCACUCCCCAGAAUGCCCGAGCUUCCGACUAGCUUACUGUAAAAGUUAAUGAUCUCCAAGUAAAUUCUAAGAUGAUACCUAACUUUUUAGAUAGAUUGUGAUGUGGUAUUGCCGCGUUAAUGUUAACGAAUACUCCUAUUUCCCCAGUAGUUAAAUGAAUUUUCAAAUAAGUAGAACUUUUCCAUAGAAUAUUUGUCCAAAUUCCUAUCUAAUAUUAUCAAUAAUGGAAUUAAAUAAAAUGUUUUAGAGCACUACUUGUCCACAAACGAAAAAUAAAAAAUAAAGACCGAAAAUUUGGAAAAUAUGUCAAGGUAAGCUUCGCUUUGCCUAAUUAAGAAAAAAAAAAGGGAAAAUUACACAAAUGAUUUAUCAAUUAUGGUCAAAUGUGUAAUGUGAUUUUUGAAUUUUUAAUUUAUUUCACCUUAGCCCAAUGUGCAACAUAGUCUUCGAAUUAUUAAUUUAUUUAAUGUGAUUCAUGAACUUUUGACAUAUAUUUAAUUUAGUCCAUAAACUGUAAAAAAAAAAUCUAAUAUUAUUAUUCCAUUAAUUUAAAUUCUAGAACAACAUUAGAUAUUUUCAUAAAGUUUAAGCUCUUGAUUAAAUAUUUACCAAAAGUUCAAAAUCACGUUGAAUAAAAAAUUGAAUAAAUGAAAUAUAAUAUGUCAAGAUAAAGUUUAUCAAUCAUAUUGAAUAAAUUAAUUGUUCAAGAUCACAUUUUAUAUUUAAUGAAAAUUCGGGACCAUUCGGAUAAUUAUCAUAAAAAAAAAAGGAGCAUAAUAUAAUAAAUAAUAAAUUUAAAAAUAGAGGAGCUGAUGCUCCAUCGGGUACAACACGCCCACGACUCGCCAGCUGUCGAGCUCGAAUAUCGUUCUACCCGCCGAGGAGAAGAUCCCGACGACCCAGUCCUCUCCCUUCGCCGGAUCGCCAAUCCCUCGGCCGGCGAAGCCGCCGGAGAUUCGUGGGAAACCCUAGACCGAAUUCCGGAGCUUCCGAUUCGCCGGAGCAUCGCCCGCUUCCGAUGGCAAACCAGCAAACGCCGUCGAGGCCGUGGAUCAUGGACGCAGCAGCGCCGUACUUGGUGGUGCUCCUUAUGGCCGCUCACGUCUUCGCUCUGAUUGGCUACUGAGAAGCAGCCCCAGAGAAGAAAGGCUCACUGAAGAACUUGCCCAUUUACUAUUGAUGCGCCGAAAGUUGGUCGAAAGCCCUGAAUUGAUCCGACCCGUUUUCCUCGAUGGCAAUGGAAUGUAUUCUCGUCGCGAUUUUGUGACUGUUUCGCCAUCGUAUGGUCCGUGCAUUUUGUUGAUAAUGUUGGAAGUGUUGAAAAGAAGUUCUAGAAGGGAGGUUAGCACGUUGCUGCUGUUGCCAUUGUUCGGUGUUGUUAGACGUUGAGAGAGGAAUGCAAGCCUGCCAUGAUGACGAUUGUUUGUUUCGACCAGUGAAAGCAAUUUCUACUGCUAGCUCGCAACAGUAAGCUUAUCUUGUGAAGAAAUCUUAUCCUUUUUUUUUUUUUCUUUUUUUGGGGUGGACUGCUGCGAAUCUGCGGUGAUCUUCUUAUCGUGCUCUAACACACUAAAAUUGCCUGAGUGCUUUUGAGAAGGCGCUUCCAAGGAUCCACAUUAGGGGCAAUGGGUCCCGUUAGAAGUCAUAAGAGUGCGAAGGUUGGAUAUUGCACAUUAGGAAAAGUCUCUUUACCCCUGUUUUUUGGAUGAUUAUUGGGAACUACGCAAACUGCUGGGAGAUUGACUUCAAUCACUUUCUCCUUUCCUUGAAUACCAAUGUGUUGAUUCUGAUUUCAUCUCCUCUCGUAAUAUAACUAGCAUAGUUGAUUCUUUAGGCGUGUGAACUGCUUCUGCCAUGUUUUACUGCAAAAUAAUAGAUACUUACAAGGGAAAUACUUCCUCGUUCUCUUGAAUUUAA